rnacentral:rRNA from 1 species
UACAUAGGGGGCAAGCGUUAUCCGGAAUCACUGGGCGUAAAGGGAGCGUAGGCGGUUUGACAAGCCAGAGGUGAAAGGCAAUAGCUUAACUAUUGUAAGCCUUUGGAACUGUCGAACUUGAGUGUAGGAGAGGAAAGUGGAAUUCCUAGUGUAGCGGUGAAAUGCGUAGAUAUUAGGAGGAACACCAGUGGCGAAGGCGACUUUCUGGACUAUAACUGACGCUGAGGCUCGAAAGCGUGGGGAGCAAACAGGAUUAGAUACCCUGGUAGUCCACGCUGUAAACGAUGAAUACUAGGUGUCUGGGGUCAAACCUAGGUGCCGCAGCUAACGCAUUAAGUAUUCCGCCUGGGGAGUACGCACGCAAGUGUGAA